AGAUAAAUAUAAAUCAGAUUUCUAAUCUGCCUAAAGCGAUUAAUCGUUUUAUCUU
rnacentral:tRNA from 1 species